GCUACGGGUGGCAGCAGUGAGGAAUAUUGGUCAAUGGACGAGAGUCUGAACCAGCCAAGUAGCGUGAAGGAUGACUGCCCUAUGGGUUGUAAACUUCUUUUAUAUGGGAAUAAAACAGGGUAUGCAUACCCUCUUGUAUGUACCAUAUGAAUAAGGAUCGGCUAACUCCGUGCCAGCAGCCGCGGUCAUACGGAGGAUCCGAGCUUUAUCCGGAUUUAUUGGGUUUAAAGGGAGCGUAGGUGGGUUGCUAAGUCAGUCGUGAAAGUUUGCGGCUCAACCGGAAAAUUGCAGUUGAAACUGGCAGUCUUGAGUACAGUAGAGGUGAGCGGAAUUCGUGGUGUAGCGGUGAAAGGCUUAGAUAUCACGAAGAACUCCGAUGGCGAAGGCAGCUCACUGGACUGCAACUGACACUGAUGCGCGAAAGUGUGGGUAUCAAACAGGAUUAGAUACCCUUGUAGUC
rnacentral:rRNA from 1 species